rnacentral:snRNA from 8 species
AUCGCUUCUCGGCCUUUUGGCUCAGAUCAAGUGUAGUAUCUGUUCUUAUCAGUUUAAUAUCUGAUACGUCCCCCAUCGGGGGACUACAUAUA